rnacentral:rRNA from 1 species
ACACGUGUGCAACCUGCCUUUAUCAGGGGGAUAGCCUUUCGAAAGGAAGAUUAAUACCCCAUAAUAUAUUGAAUGGCAUCAUUUGAUAUUGAAAACUCCGGUGGAUAGAGAUGGGCACGCGCAAGAUUAGAUAGUUGGUGAGGUAACGGCUCACCAAGUCAGUGAUCUUUAGGGGGCCUGAGAGGGUGAUCCCCCACACUGGUACUGAGACACGGACCAGACUCCUACGGGAGGCAGCAGUGAGGAAUAUUGGACAAUGGGUGAGAGCCUGAUCCAGCCAUCCCGCGUGAAGGACGACGGUUCUAUGGAUUGUAAACUUCUUUUAUACUGGGAUAAACCUACCCUCGUGAGGGUAGCUGAAGGUACAGUAUGAAUAAGCACCGGCUAACUCCGUGCCAGCAGCCGCGGUAAUACGGAGGGUGCAAGCGUUAUCCGGAUUUAUUGGGUUUAAAGGGUCCGUAGGCGGAUCUGUAAGUCAGUGGUGAAAUCUCAUAGCUUAACUAUGAAACUGCCAUUGAUACUGCAGGUCUUGAGUAAAGUAGAAGUGGCUGGAAUAAGUAGUGUAGCGGUGAAAUGCAUAGAUAUUACUUAGAACACCAAUUGCGAAGGCAGGUCACUAUGUUUUAACUGACGCUGAUGGACGAAAGCGUGGGGAGCGAACAGGAUUAGAUACCCUGGUAGUCCACGCCGUAAACGAUGCUAACUCGUUUUUGGGUUUUCGGAUUCAGAGACUAAGCGAAAGUGAUAAGUUAGCCACCUGGGGAGUACGUUCGCAAGAAUGAAACUCAAAGGAAUUGACGGGGGCCCGCACAAGCGGUGGAUUAUGUGGUUUAAUUCGAUGAUACGCGAGGAACCUUACCAAGGCUUAAAUGGGAAUUGACAGGUUUAGAAAUAGACUUUUCUUCGGACAAUUUUCAAGGUGCUGCAUGGUUGUCGUCAGCUCGUGCCGUGAGGUGUUAGGUUAAGUCCUGCAACGAGCGCAACCCCUGUCACUAGUUGCCAUCAUUCAGUUGGGGACUCUAGUGAGACUGCCUACGCAAGUAGAGAGGAAGGUGGGGAUGACGUCAAAUCAUCACGGCCCUUACGCCUUGGGCCACACACGUAAUACAAUGGCCAGUACAGAGGGCAGCUACCAGGCGACUGGAUGCG